UUCGGAUCCAAAGCCUGGGGUCCAGCGGUAUCCAGGUAGGAGCACCGUGACACACAUAAAGAGACAUUUUGGCCGCACUACACCACUCGGCAAUUCCUACACCUAGGACGCCUUAUAGAGGGCCCUGUGGGGAGGCUGCAUUAUCAGUGU